CUCGCUCCAGACUCGAGAGGGAUGCGGAGAGAGGAGGUGCGCGAGGGGAUCUAGGGCCACCGAGCCAGCCGAGCCGAGCCGCGCGAGGGCCGAGGGGAGCCGACAAGCGACGGGAUCCACAGCGGCGCGCGGGAUGCGGGUGAAUUGUGCGCGGGCCGAUCCUGCCGAGGCGGUCCAUCCGAUUGGGAAGUGGAAAGGGGGGACACGGGAAGAGGAGGCGCGCGCGCGAGGGGAUCCAGCGCCGCGGGCGAUAAUGGCCGGCGCCUCAUCUGCCGGAAACUGCUCGCAAUCAUACCUCAGUUUCUCAACGCUCAUUCAUGGCGAUUGAUGUGCCAAUUCUUUCCGCUGUCGAGCGGUACAUCUAUAUAUGCUUCCUCCUCUGGUCGCUCACCCUCUCUACUCCGGCAGCAAAACAAUCAUGCCGGGCAGGGUUCCCUGUGAUGUUCAUGCUAGCGGUGCUCGAUUGAUUUCAUUUUGUAGCUUCGUACUGGAAUUUUUUGGUGUUGGUAAUCUCAAAUCUCUUUGGACAGAAGCAGAGGCCGAUUGUGCUUAUGAACUAGCAGUGCCUAAGGCCAAUAUGGGGCUGUUACAUACAGACCUACCAGGUUCAUUGGAGUUCUGCUUGAUGGAACUUUCUGUUUGCUGCCA